rnacentral:misc_RNA from 1 species
GCAACAGCUGCAGUUAGAAGUGUUGCUGAUGAGGUGGAAAAUGUAGAUUCUGCUUCUAGUGAAGAUGCUGAGAAUAAUAAAAUCAAUGAGGUUGACGAUAGUUCGGAUGAUGGUAAAAGUGUUCGAGGCAAAGGGCGCAAAAGAGCUGCUCCUGGUGGAAGAGGAAGAGGAGCCACAACCACAAAGCGGGGAAAGAAAUUGGACAACUCAGCAAUUCAAAGAAUGCAUAUGUGGAAGGAUGAUGAUGAUGAUGAAGAUUUGGCAAAAAGAUUAAAUAAGUCUCAACCUCGGGUAACAAGGAAUUAUGGAGCUUUAAGGAGGCAAGGAUAAACGAGGAUCAACCCUAUUGCAAAUCCCACUCUAGCACAUUGUUUGUUAUGGUGGCGCAUUAUGUAGAACCAUUUUGGUGCAUAACGUCAUGUAAAGAGUGUUCUUGGGAAGUUUUGAAGAAGAGAGAACUAAACAGAGCAUUUUUCUUCAACAUAACUGAAAUUUUGCUGGA